CGACGAAUCUUCCGCAAUGGACGAAAGUCUGACGGAGCGAUGCCGCGUGUGGGAUGAAGCGGCUUUGCCGUGUAAACCACUGUCAGGUAAUAGAAACAAUGAUCAUUGCCAAAGGAAGGGGCGACUAACUCUGUGCCAGCAGUCGCGGUAAGACAGAGGCCCCGAGCGUUAGUCGGAAUCACUGGGCUUAAAGGGUGCGUAGGCUGGCCCAUAAGUAUCGUGUGAAAGCCCAUGGCUCAACUAUGGAACCGCACGGUAAACUGUGGGUCUCGAGGUUGGUAGAGGCGGGUGGAACGAUUGGUGGAGCGGUGGAAUGCGUAGAUAUCAAUCGGAACGCCAAAGGUGAAGACAGCCCGCUAGGCCAUACCUGACGCUGAGGCACGAAAGCGUGGGGAGCAAA
rnacentral:rRNA from 1 species